AGAGUUUGAUCAUGGCUCAGGACGAACGCUGGCGGCGUGCCUAAUACAUGCAAGUCGUACGCUUCUUUUUCCACCGGAGCUUGCUCCACCGGAAAAAGAAGAGUGGCGAACGGGUGAGUAACACGUGGGUAACCUACCCAUCAGAAGGGGAUAACACUUGGAAACAGGUGCUAAUACCGUAUAACAAUCGAAACCGCAUGGUUUUGAUUUGAAAGGCGCUUUCGGGUGUCGCUGAUGGAUGGACCCGCGGUGCAUUAGCUAGUUGGUGAGGUAACGGCUCACCAAGGCCACGAUGCAUAGCCGACCUGAGAGGGUGAUCGGCCACAUUGGGACUGAGACACGGCCCAAACUCCUACGGGAGGCAGCAGUAGGGAAUCUUCGGCAAUGGACGAAAGUCUGACCGAGCAACGCCGCGUGAGUGAAGAAGGUUUUCGGAUCGUAAAACUCUGUUGUUAGAGAAGAACAAGGAUGAGAGUAACUGUUCAUCCCUUGACGGUAUCUAACCAGAAAGCCACGGCUAACUACGUGCCAGCAGCCGCGGUAAUACGUAGGUGGCAAGCGUUGUCCGGAUUUAUUGGGCGUAAAGCGAGCGCAGGCGGUUUCUUAAGUCUGAUGUGAAAGCCCCCGGCUCAACCGGGGAGGGUCAUUGGAAACUGGGAGACUUGAGUGCAGAAGAGGAGAGUGGAAUUCCAUGUGUAGCGGUGAAAUGCGUAGAUAUAUGGAGGAACACCAGUGGCGAAGGCGGC
rnacentral:rRNA from 1 species